AUCAUGUUGGCCAGGAGGGUCUCAAACUCUUGACCUCAAGUGAUCUACCUGUCUCAGCCUCCCAAAGUACUGGGAUUACAGGAGUGUGGCUUGGCCUUCCAUUCCUAAUGUUUAGCCAAGGGUGCCAGGUCUUUUCGGGAAGAGGGGUAGACUUGAAGUGAGUGAAAGUUAAAAAUGGUAGUAUCCAGAAUUUCCUGCACUCUGGAGAAAAGGGACUAGGUGAGGUGCUCAAUAUUAGCCUAGGGUUUAGCUUUUACUCUAAUAGGACCCCUUUCUUCCUUCUUCCCUAAAUUUUCCCAUUGAUUGAAGAGAGAUCCGGAUGUCUAAACCUCCCAUCUUGACACCUAGGAAGCUGUUACGCAGAUCCUCUCUCUGUGGCUUCCAAAGCCAUGGAAAAGGGGAAGGAAGGCCAAGAAAGGGGUAGAUAGAGGUGGCAGUGUCAUGGUGUCCAUCAGCACCCAACGAGAAAGGCCAAGGAGAAGAAAGUGACCAGAGAAGAAGCCAGGAGGAGAUGCCUGCUCCUGAAACAGCAUUCUUACCCCAUCCUCUCCUGCUUCCCCUCUCGCAUGCCGACAGGGCUGUGUGCCCAAGUGUGCCAGCUCGCCUGGCUAGUGAUCCUGCUCUGCUGUGCAGGCAGCCGGCUCUCUGCCCCAGCACAGAGCACAUGCUGAGGUCUCACACUCCUUUGCUCACUCAUUUCCAUGUCUAUGUUGCAGAUUCCUAGAAAUGAAGGAGGAGACUGUGGCCUUGAAGCCAGCUCCAUUCCUGGCCACCUCCAUUCCUGGCCAACUCAUCCCCUCCAGUCUGAGAGGACAUGUGAAUGCCACCAGGAUCUGAACCCAGGAUAUCCAGCCUCCAUCAUCACCCUAACCCUGAGAAUGCCACUGGGGUGGGGAGGACUUGUCAGUCUUCAUCCUUCCCCACAAGUAUACUGAGGCCAGGACAGGCCCAGCUCCAGAAGCAGACCCAGAACGGUAUCCUGAGACCCAGAACCCAGCCCCUCUUCAUGGAAGACCAGUGCAAAGGAGGAAAUAGGUUAGGGAAUGAUAAGGCUCCAUGUGAUGGGACUAAUGAGAAGAGGCAGGGAGAGGCCUAGGGCCUUUCCCUGAGGACUGGAUGGCUGGAGUUUGGGAGCCUACAUUGACAGAGGAGGCUAAGCCCGGGCAGCUACUUUGUUCCAGAAAUCUAAGGUCCCUAGAUGGAGCUUAGCUUGGGAAGGGAGAAGGGAGCUAACAUUGCAGAGUACCAACUGUGAGCCAGGUGCAGUGCCAGAGCCUUUCCAUACCUGUACUCAAAACUAGCAGGUGAGGAGUUAGGGCACAUAGGUGUCUCAUGAGCUCCCUGUAUCUUAGCACGGUCGACCACCUCCUUUGAUUCCGUGAUGUCACUGCCAGUUCUCCUUCCGCUCUGACUGGUCUUUGUCUGUAUCCUUUGCAAACUCAUUCUCAACUCCUUAGACUCAGUCAAGUCCCCCACUUAAACACUUCCAUGGUACUAUAUAUCCUUCUUCAGAGCACUUAGCACAGUUAUUUGCUAUGUAUUUGUCCAGUCAUUUGAAUAAUGAUCCUAGCUUCAUUGGAUGGAAAGUUCCACAAGGUCAGUGACCAUUUCUAUCUGUGUUCACCAGUGUGUUCCCAGUGCCCAGAAACAGUGCCUAGCGUAAAGCAGCUGUUUGGUAAAGACUUGUUCUAUGAAUGAAUAAAUGACAAAAGAACAUC